AUGGCAGGGGCUGCCAAGCCCGCUUUUGAGAUCAGCAGCUUGGACCGACCCCAGGACCUGGGAAUUCAAACGGUGAACAUGGUGCGGACCGUCUCGAACGAUCGGGUGGCCAAUACGGUGCCGCCAGCAAGGGAGGCUGGCGCGUCUAUGCCUACUCGCAGCAUUGGAGGGAGUGCAGUACCUGAGGAGAUUACUGGGACCAUCCAAACGGCUCCAAGACUGGUCGCCGGGCCCGAGACAGAUGGGAGACAGACCAGAGCAGCGGGACCCACACAGAUCAGCGAACAAGAAUUGGGCAGGGGCCCACAGCUGGGUGCGGUCCCGUGCGAGACAGCGACUGGGGAGGCCCUGGAUCGUUUGCAGACGAAGCAUGUGGCCAGGCAGGUAUCUGCGCACAGGACGGUGGUAUGUGAGCCACAAUCAAUCCUUCUGGAGGGAGAUCAGACUGCCCCAGGAUCUGAGCAGGGUGGAGAUGCUCUGGUGAAUGGCUGGGACCCGGUGGCUGAUGCGCUCGCCCCGGCCAAUCGUCCGGCUCCGCAGGUGGGACCCGGGACCGCGACAAAAUCAACCUUGUAUGCUGCGCCGACUGGAGUGGGGAUUCCUACGUGCGUGCCAGCAUUGGAUGCCCCGAUUUUGGAGCCUCGGGAUCCUGCGUCCACAGGCGAAGCUGCAUGUGAUGUGACCACGUCCGGCGACAUGCAAUUGGUUGCUGCAACUGCGGGUGACUUGACCACGUCCGGCGACAUGCAGAUGGUACUUCAUAGGGAGGAUAGCAUGGUGUGGCACUUGGAGGAGGGGCUCUCGGCCAAGGAGCAGCUGGCUCUGGGUAACAUCAAGUCCUUUUGUGCCGGACUGCUCAAGAAACUCGCCCCACCGUUGCUGAAGGAGAUCGAGACUAUCAGAGGUGUGGGUACUGGUCAGGACCCAUUUACACCCAGUCGCAACACUCGGUCGGUGGGUGCGGGCAACCGGUCCAAAUCCAAGGCCACGGCGGCAGAAACGAUAUUGCUCAAGACCUUGGGCAUCGCGGAAGAUGAUCUUGCUGUGUCGGAGGGGGCUCUCGAUCAGCUGCGCGUUGUUUUCGACUCACCUCUUCGCGAGCCACAGCUCAAAGCCAUUGCGGCCAUCUUCGGGAAGGCGUUGCCAGUCAACUUUCGCAACGAGAUGGAGAGCACGAUCGCCGUGUAG
rnacentral:rRNA from 1 species